AUAGAGCUUUAUUAUAAAUAAUAGUUUUCACCAUGUCUUAACCGUAUACAUGCAGCAGCCUUAUAUACAUCUCAUAUAUCCACCUAAUACAUCAUAUUGCAACCUCUAAAUAUAGACAGCUAUAUAUAGUAUACCGAUCGCUAAAUAUAUAUCCCGUUAUCACUACCUCUUUCCAGAGAAUUACAAUGAACCCCGUGAAGCCGUUGGACGGGUUGCUAAUGGAUGGCGGUAUACUAAUGUGAGUCAGUUAUACCAUCAGAUAUCCUGAGGUUUUAUGGAAAAUGAUAUCAAGGAAUUGGUCAGGCUGCUUCCCAGGGUAGGGAUUCUGAAAGAGACUGGAGAUCAGAGGACAUAUGUCCAAGUUAAUGGGAGACUCACCAGCAUUAGCCCAGAACUCCACAAACACCCGCCAGGGCAUUUGUGACCUGACUGGGGGGUGGGGAGGGGACAGUCAGAUCAUGGGCCAGAAACAUGCUCAGCAGAAUCAACAAACAGUAUCUAACAGAUUUAGUACGCGAACUUGGGUCUCACAGAUUCUGUUAGAUGGUUUCUAAUCAACUUAUUCAGAGGUGUUAUCAUGCAGUUCUGAAGUAGGUGUGACUUCAACCUAAGGCCCGCAGCCCAAAGGUAGGGACAUUACCACCUGUCACAAGAACCCUCAUCACAAAUCCUGUUACUGCCCGUCCUAAUUGUUUCGCCUGAACGCGUUAAUCUGAACAAAGGACGUUUACUCAUGCCAGUUAAGGAGAUGGAUGUGAAACAUUCAAAUGAGUUAAAAGGCCCUGGAUGAACAUACCUCACUUAUUAUGAACAUUAUGUGCUGGAGUGCAUGAUUCUUUGACCUCAGCAUUGGUGCUGCCAGAUCUGCUGAGUUUCUCCCAGUAACUUCUGUUUUUGUUUCGGAUCACCUGCAUCCACAGUUCCUUGUCUGAUUGUACAAUCUAAGCUCGAGGCUGGAAACUACUUACAGCCUCUUAGGCUGUCUGCUUGACAUAGGAUGUGUACGGUAAAUAUCAAAAAAUGUUAUAAAUGUAUACAUAAAAGCGCCUUGGGGUGAAACAUG